GCCGAAAAGAGGAAGGACUAAAUGGGUAAAUAUACCCUUAGUCCAAAACACACGGACCCUCAGGUAUCGGGUCGGGUCUCGCACGGGUCACGUGAAACGGCGUCGUUUUGGCAUUAGGAAGGCCGACCAAAACGACGUCGUUUUGAUCGGCUAUUUAAGGCAGAUUUUUUUUUAAAUAUUUCACUUUUCACUUUGCUUCAAAAAAACAUUUCGUUCUUCUCUCAUUUCUCUCUGCAGGUGCCUUGGUCCGGCCAGCACUCCGGUGAAACGCCACCGUUCUCCGCCGCGUCUUCGCCGCCGGCGACCGCCGUGCACGGCGGUCGGAGGUAAAAAUCUUCCUCUUUUUUUCGUUUUAAAGUGUAUUUAUAAUAUAUGUGUGUAUGUGGGUAAAUAGGUUUUAAAAAAAAAAGAAAGAAAAAAACGAUAAUAAUCAAAUAAAAUCACCUUGGGCUAUUAGAUUUUGAUUCUCUGUUUGGACUAUUUUCUGCUUUUGAUAUUGCUGUGGUCUCUGUUCUUGCUUGUGUGUUUAAAAUCAAAUAUUGCUUUUUUAUGUAUCACCAAAUGCCCAAUGUUACAAGGGUACUAGAUUUGGCUUUUUAUAGCCAUUUUACAUGAUUUCUAUACUAUUAUCUGUCCCCUCUUCUUUUAAUCUUUGCAGGCAAGUGGGCGGUGCUGACAUGGGCAGUGGAGCAGGUGGAGCAGGUGACUGGCAUGGGGCGAUGGGACGUCGGCGGUGCCUAGGGUGAAUAGAUUAGGGUUUUUUCUUUUUCUUCUUUUUCCUAAUUUUGGAUUGUAUUUGGGCUGGUGGGUUUGGGUUUAAUUCUUUAAGGUUUGGGCUGAGGUAAUUGGGUUAGGAUAGGUUGGGUUUUGGGUGGUGUUAGGUUUUAUUUUAGUUUUGGUAUUCAGGCUGUGAGGUUAUAUUGGGCCUGGAUAAGGAUUGAGUUGUACAUCCAUUAUGAUCGUUGUCGUUACACACUUUAAUCAUUUUAGUCACCAUAGUUACAUACUUUCUAUCAUUUUAAUUACUUGCCAUUACUUUCUACUGGAUCUUUUGGUUUACCUCUUCGUAUGAUUAGUAAGCUUUGUUGAUCUAUUUGGUUUUAUUUGUUGUUUUUAAGAAGUCUAAUUUAUGAUUUUAGUUUAAUCCUUCCACUUUGAUUUGAUAUGGUCCAGUCCUCUACUUUUGUAAGAUCGUUAGCAAGUCUAAAUUGAUAAUACUACCAUUAAAAUAAUUAUGUAAAUAUUUUUUUAUUGUUAUUUAGUGAUG
rnacentral:lncRNA from 1 species